AUACGGAGGAUCCGAGCGUUAUCCGGAUUUAUUGGGUUUAAAGGGAGCGUAGGUGGAUUGUUAGGUCAGUUGUGAAAGUUUGCGGCUCAACCGUAAAAUUGCAGUUGAAACUGGCAGUCUUGAGUACAGUAGAGGUGGGCGGAAUUCGUGGUGUAGCGGUGAAAUGCAUAGAUAUGACGAAGAACACCGAUUGCGUAGGCAGCUGACCAGACCGCAAAUGACGCUCAUGCACGAAAGUGCGGGGAUCGAACAGGAUUAGAUACCCUGGUAGUCCGCACAGUAAACGAUGAAUACUUGUUUUCGGCGAUAUAAUGUCGGAGGCAAAGCGAAAGCGAUAAGUAUUCCACCUGGGGAGUACGCCGGCAACGGUGAAACUCAAAGGAAUUGGCGGGG
rnacentral:rRNA from 1 species